UACGUAGGGUGCGAGCGUUGUCCGGAAUUAUUGGGCGUAAAGGGCUCGUAGGCGGUUUGUCACGUCGGGAGUGAAAACUCGGGCUUAACCCCGAGCCUGCUUCCGAUACGGGCAGACUAGAGGUAUGCAGGGGAGAACGGAAUUCCUGGUGUAGCGGUGAAAUGCGCAGAUAUCAGGAGGAACACCGGUGGCGAAGGCGGUUCUCUGGGCAUUACCUGACGCUGAGGAGCGAAAGUGUGGGGAGCGAACAGG
rnacentral:rRNA from 1 species